rnacentral:rRNA from 1 species
GACGAACGCUGGCGGCGUGCUUAACACAUGCAAGUCGAACGGAAAGGCCCUGCUUUUGUGGGGUGCUCGAGUGGCGAACGGGUGAGUAACACGUGAGUAACCUGCCCUUGACUUUGGGAUAACUUCAGGAAACUGGGGCUAAUACCGGAUAGGAGCUCCUGCUGCAUGGUGGGGGUUGGAAAGUUUCGGCGGUUGGGGAUGGACUCGCGGCUUAUCAGCUUGUUGGUGGGGUAGUGGCUUACCAAGGCUUUGACGGGUAGCCGGGCUGAGAGGGUGACCGGCCACAUUGGGACUGAGAUACGGCCCAGACUCCUACGGGAGGCAGCAGUGGGGAAUAUUGCACAAUGGGCGAAGCCUGAUGCAGCAACGCCGCGUGCGGGAUGACGGCCUUCGGGUUGUAAACCGCUUUCGCCUGUGACGAAGCGUGAGUGACGGUAAUGGGUAAAGAAGCACCGGCUAACUACGUG